CCAAGUAAGUAAAAUCAGGUAUGCCCCCCUUCCCCUCAGAAAUCUGCCCUCAGGUGGCUGUUGGUUUUUCUACGUCAGAGAAUGUUACAAGUUAAACACACGGAAGGGAAUGCUGGUGUUAUAAUCUGUCUUGGGGAAAGGUUUGGAGUGAAAUCAAGGUCAAAGAAUAAACUCUGUGCUGGUUCAAAGCAUGACCUUCGGAGUUGGUGGGGCUGGGAUUCAAGUCCUGCCCUGCCUUGUCUUGGAACUCUCUGGGCUUCAGGUUCUGCAUCUGGAAAUAGGGAAUAAUAAUCCAGUGUCAACUUUUUCGUUGCUGUGAGAAAUAAAUGUAGUAAUGUGUGAUGUUCACAGUACAAUGGCAGGUUCACGGUGAGCCUACAAUUUAUCUAAAACUAGAGAACAAACACCCACUCUGAAGAAAAGCCAGAGCAAAUUCUUUGGGCCCAGCCAGUUCUCUGACAGUGGGCCAGAUGGGAAGAUGCUGUAAUCUUUCUCUGUGGCAAAGCUGGCAGGAAGGGAAGGAGGCCAGUGGUGUUACUGUCCUGGUCACUCAUUGGACUGGGGGAAGGACAUUGGAACAGUGACAAAUCGAUGGGAAAUGAGAAGUCACUAGAGCCGACAUCUAAAAAAGGCCUCAAGAAUGGACAGAGAGAGGAAAUGGGUGUCAGCUGUGGUGCUGACUGGUCAUCUUUUAAUAGAGCUAGAUUCCAGGAAAGAGCUUCUCAGUAAGGAAGUUCCCUGAAACCAUGCCCCCUAACAUUUCAGCAGCAGGUUUUGAGAGCAACUUUCUCUGGCUGGUUGUGAUAGCUCAUGUAGUAGUAUCUCUUUUGUCAGAUUUAUAAGCCUGAGUUUCUCUGAAAAGCAAAAAUCCUGGCUAAUGUUUAUUAAUAACCUACUAUAUGCCAGAUGAUUAUUAAGCAUUUUAAAUGAAUUCAUUCAUUGAAGAUAGACUUACUACGCAUGUACUCCAUCCAAGGCAUUGUUCUGAGUGCUGGGGAUACAGCAGUGAAAAAAAGAGACAAUAUCCCUAUCAACAUAUCAACAUUGAACCUACUUGCCAGAGCACCUAACGUGCAACAGUCAUCAUCUGCUCAACUGUAUAGUGAGCUCUUUGGGGGUAGGAAUUGCGUUCCUCUACACAGAAGAAUUUUCUUCUCUCUCCACAUCCCCAGUUGCUAGCAGAAUGCCUGGAAAAGGAUGCAAGGAUUCAGGCUAUUCAGAGACAUCUGGCUUCCUCAGUUAUUGAGCUUGGAAACCAACAUGGGAGUGAAAAGAAUUUGGGCUUUAAAGGCAGUAAAAACAGG
rnacentral:lncRNA from 1 species